UACAGAGGGGGCAAGCGUUGUUCGGAAUUACUGGGCGUAAAGGGCGCGUAGGCAGCCUGCUAAGUCGAACGUGAAAUCCCUGGGCUCAACCCAGGAACUGCGUCCGAUACUGGUUGGCUUGAAUCCGGGAGAGGGAUGUGGAAUUCCAGGUGUAGCGGUGAAAUGCGUAGAUAUCUGGAGGAACACCGGUGGCGAAGGCGGCAUCCUGGACCGGUAUUGACGCUGAGGCGCGAAAGCCAGGGGAGCAAACGGG
rnacentral:rRNA from 1 species